UAAUACGUAGGGUGCAAGCGUUGUCCGGAAUUACUGGGUGUAAAGGGUCCGCAGGCGGGUGAGCAAGUCGGUGGUGAAAGUCUUCGGCUUAACCGAAGAACUGCCUCCGAUACUGUUCAUCUUGAGUCCGAGAGAGGAUGAUGGAAUUCAUGGUGUAGCGGUGAAAUGCGUAGAGAUCAUGAAGAACACCAGUAGCGAAGGCGGUCAUCUGGCUCGGUACUGACGCUCAGGGACGAAAGCGUGGGGAGCAAACAGGAUUAGAUACCCUGGUAGUCCACGCCAUAAACGAUGGAUGUUCGGUGUCGGUUCGAAAGAAUCGGUGCCUGAGCUAACGCGUUAAACAUCCCACCUGGGGAGUACGAUCGCAAGGUUGAAACUCAAAGGAAUUGACGGGGGCCCGCACAAGCAGUGGAGCAUGUGGUUCAAUUCGAUGCAACGCGAAGAACCUUACCUGGGUUUGAAAGGCUAGUGACAACCGAUGAAAGUCGGUCUCGUAGCAAUACGCAC
rnacentral:rRNA from 1 species